rnacentral:rRNA from 1 species
GACGAACGCUGGCGGCGUGCCUAAUACAUGCAAGUCGAACGAACUCUGGUAAUGAUUGGUGCUUGCAUCAUGAAUUACAUUUCAGUGAGUGGCGAACUGGUGAGUAACACGUGGGAAACCUGCCCAGAAGCGGGGGAUAACACCUGGAAACAGAUGCUAAUACCGCAUAACAACUUGGACCGCAUGGUCCGAGUUUGAAAGAUGGCUUCGGCUAUCACUUUUGGAUGGUCCCGCGGCGUAUUAGCUAGAUGGUGAGGUAACGGCUCACCAUGGCAAUGAUACGUAGCCGACCUGAGAGGGUAAGCGGCCACAUUGGGACUGAGACACGGCCCAAACUCCUACGGGAGGCAGCAGUAGGGAAUCUUCCACAAUGGACGAAAGUCUGAUGGAGCAACGCCGCGUGAGUGAAGAAGGGUUUCGGCUCGUAAAACUCUGUUGUUAAAGAAGAACAUAUCUGAGAGUAACUGUUCAGGUAUUGACGGUAUUUAACCAGAAAGCCACGGCUAACUACGUGCCAGCCGCCGCGGUAA